CGAUACUUGUGGUGUUAAUACCCUCUGAUACAAAGGCCCAGGAACUGAGCGGCAGGAGUGUCCUGCAUCCGGAGAUGAUUGGAUUUAAGUGUUCCUGAAGCUGGGGGCCUCCAAGGAUUAAGGAAAGUUAAGUUACAGGUGAACUCUGACUGAAGUAUUCUGGUGUUUUCAUACCAGCAAGAUUAGCUACAUCGUGAUCAUUUUGCUGUUAUUUGGUGACAUUGAAUCUGAGUGUACGUCCAUGACAAUUCCAAAAUCUCCCACGAAAAUCCUGAAAUGAACCUGAGAACAAUCCAUCAAAGCCCUAAGAUGCAGCCGCCUGGAACACACUAAGCACUAUGAAAGCUUUAAAUCUCUUCCUCUGCACAAUCCAUUUAGCAUGGCUUUGCCACACUCCACCAGGGGGGUGCUUGUGUUGGAUCCCAGGGGUGGUACCACCAGGAUAAAUUAUGCAUCCAGUGUCUGUGUAUGCA